GGGGAUGUCAAGGCUUCGACAUGAAUAAUUGACUUUCAAAAGCAGUGGGGUUUGCCCCUUAUAGCUAUCGAGAUUGCUUAAAUGCAGACUCAAGAGAAGACAACGUUAACUUAGACGAAGCAUUCUUAGUCAACCAAUUGUCAGCACAAAACAACCUUAACUACGCUUUUGUAGCCUAGGCUUUUGUGUCUCAAGGUGUUUAAGGUUAGACUACUUACCUUAACACAUUAGAAUAAGUAGUUAUAUUAAGUUGAUGUCAAUAAACUUAAUGAAAUUCAUUGACUUAGUUACACCAAGGUUGUUCUAAUACCUAAAUGGUGUAAUAAAUUGCUAAAUUAGGACUAAACUGUAGAAAUUGUUAGAAAGCUAUUUGUGGAAACGGGUUCGAUUCCCGUCAUCUCCACCA
rnacentral:tmRNA from 1 species